CCUACGGGUGGCAGCAGUGGGGAAUAUUGGACAAUGGGGGCAACCCUGAUCCAGCCAUGCCGCGUGUGUGAAGAAGGCCCUCGGGUUGUAAAGCACUUUCAGUGAGGAAGAACGCCUGGUGGUUAAUACCCAUCAGGAAAGACAUCACUCACAGAAGAAGCACCGGCUAACUCCGUGCCAGCAGCCGCGGUAAUACGGAGGGUGCGAGCGUUAAUCGGAAUUACUGGGCGUAAAGCGCGCGUAGGUGGCUUGAUAAGCCGGUUGUGAAAGCCCCGGGCUCAACCUGGGAACGGCAUCCGGAACUGUCAAGCUAGGGUGCAGGAGAGGAAGGUAGAAUUCCCGGUGUAGCGGUGAAAUGCGUAGAGAUCGGGAGGAAUACCAGUGGCGAAGGCGGCCUUCUGGACUGACACUGACACUGAGGUGCGAAAGCGUGGGUAGCAAACAGGAUUAGAUACCCCUGUAGUC
rnacentral:rRNA from 1 species